UUAAGCGACUAAGCGUACACGGUGGAUGCCCUGGCAGUCAGAGGCGAUGAAGGACGUGCUAAUCUGCGAUAAGCGUCGGUAAGGUGAUAUGAACCGUUAUAACCGGCGAUUUCCGAAUGGGGAAACCCAGUGUGAUUCGUCACACUAUCAUUAACUGAAUCCAUAGGUUAAUGAGGCGAACCGGGGGAACUGAAACAUCUAAGUACCCCGAGGAAAAGAAAUCAACCGAGAUUCCCCCAGUAGCGGCGAGCGAACGGGGAGCAGCCCAGAGCCUGAAUCAGUGUGUGUGUUAGUGGAAGCGUCUGGAAAGGCGCGCGAUACAGGGUGACAGCCCCGUACACAAAAAUGCACAUAUUGUGAGCUCGAUGAGUAGGGCGGGACACGUGGUAUCCUGUCUGAAUAUGGGGGGACCAUCCUCCAAGGCUAAAUACUCCUGACUGACCGAUAGUGAACCAGUACCGUGAGGGAAAGGCGAAAAGAACCCCGGCGAGGGGAGUGAAAAAGAACCUGAAACCGUGUACGUACAAGCAGUGGGAGCNNNNNNNNNNNNNNNNNNNNNNNNGUGACUGCGUACCUUUUGUAUAAUGGGUCAGCGACUUAUAUUCUGUAGCAAGGUUAACCGAAUAGGGGAGCCGAAGGGAAACCGAGUCUUAACUGGGCGUUAAGUUGCAGGGUAUAGACCCGAAACCCGGUGAUCUAGCCAUGGGCAGGUUGAAGGUUGGGUAACACUAACUGGAGGACCGAACCGACUAAUGUUGAAAAAUUAGCGGAUGACUUGUGGCUGGGGGUGAAAGGCCAAUCAAACCGGGAGAUAGCUGGUUCUCCCCGAAAGCUAUUUAGGUAGCGCCUCGUGAACUCAUCUCCGGGGGUAGAGCACUGUUUCGGCAAGGGGGUCAUCCCGACUUACCAACCCGAUGCAAACUGCGAAUACCGGAGAAUGUUAUCACGGGAGACACACGGCGGGUGCUAACGUCCGUCGUGAAGAGGGAAACAACCCAGACCGCCAGCUAAGGUCCCAAAGUCAUGGUUAAGUGGGAAACGAUGUGGGAAGGCCCAGACAGCCAGGAUGUUGGCUUAGAAGCAGCCAUCAUUUAAAGAAAGCGUAAUAGCUCACUGGUCGAGUCGGCCUGCGCGGAAGAUGUAACGGGGCUAAACCAUGCACCGAAGCUGCGGCAGCGACGCUUAUGCGUUGUUGGGUAGGGGAGCGUUCUGUAAGCCUGCGAAGGUGUNAUGCUGGAGGUAUCAGAAGUGCGAAUGCUGACAUAAGUAACGAUAAAGCGGGUGAAAAGCCCGCUCGCCGGAAGACCAAGGGUUCCUGUCCAACGUUAAUCGGGGCAGGGUGAGUCGACCCCUAAGGCGAGGCCGAAAGGCGUAGUCGAUGGGAAACAGGUUAAUAUUCCUGUACUUGGUGUUACUGCGAAGGGGGGACGGAGAAGGCUAUGUUGGCCGGGCGACGGUUGUCCCGGUUUAAGCGUGUAGGCUGGUUUUCCAGGCAAAUCCGGAAAAUCAAGGCUGAGGCGUGAUGACGAGGCACUACGGUGCUGAAGCAACAAAUGCCCUGCUUCCAGGAAAAGCCUCUAAGCAUCAGGUAACAUCAAAUCGUACCCCAAACCGACACAGGUGGUCAGGUAGAGAAUACCAAGGCGCUUGAGAGAACUCGGGUGAAGGAACUAGGCAAAAUGGUGCCGUAACUUCGGGAGAAGGCACGCUGAUAUGUAGGUGAAGCGACUUGCUCGUGGAGCUGAAAUCAGUCGAAGAUACCAGCUGGCUGCAACUGUUUAUUAAAAACACAGCACUGUGCAAACACGAAAGUGGACGUAUACGGUGUGACGCCUGCCCGGUGCCGGAAGGUUAAUUGAUGGGGUCAGCGCAAGCGAAGCUCUUGAUCGAAGCCCCGGUAAACGGCGGCCGUAACUAUAACGGUCCUAAGGUAGCGAAAUUCCUUGUCGGGUAAGUUCCGACCUGCACGAAUGGCGUAAUGAUGGCCAGGCUGUCUCCACCCGAGACUCAGUGAAAUUGAACUCGCUGUGAAGAUGCAGUGUACCCGCGGCAAGACGGAAAGACCCCGUGAACCUUUACUAUAGCUUGACACUGAACAUUGAGCCUUGAUGUGUAGGAUAGGUGGGAGGCUUUGAAGUGUGGACGCCAGUCUGCAUGGAGCCGACCUUGAAAUACCACCCUUUAAUGUUUGAUGUUCUAACGUUGACCCGUGAUCCGGGUUGCGGACAGUGUCUGGUGGGUAGUUUGACUGGGGCGGUCUCCUCCUAAAGAGUAACGGAGGAGCACGAAGGUUGGCUAAUCCUGGUCGGACAUCAGGAGGUUAGUGCAAUGGCAUAAGCCAGCUUGACUGCGAGCGUGACGGCGCGAGCAGGUGCGAAAGCAGGUCAUAGUGAUCCGGUGGUUCUGAAUGGAAGGGCCAUCGCUCAACGGAUAAAAGGUACUCCGGGGAUAACAGGCUGAUACCGCCCAAGAGUUCAUAUCGACGGCGGUGUUUGGCACCUCGAUGUCGGCUCAUCACAUCCUGGGGCUGAAGUAGGUCCCAAGGGUAUGGCUGUUCGCCAUUUAAAGUGGUACGCGAGCUGGGUUUAGAACGUCGUGAGACAGUUCGGUCCCUAUCUGCCGUGGGCGCUGGAGAACUGAGGGGGGCUGCUCCUAGUACGAGAGGACCGGAGUGGACGCAUCACUGGUGUUCGGGUUGUCAUGCCAAUGGCACUGCCCGGUAGCUAAAUGCGGAAGAGAUAAGUGCUGAAAGCAUCUAAGCACGAAACUUGCCCCGAGAUGAGUUCUCCCUGACCCUUUAAGGGUCCUGAAGGAACGUUGAAGACGACGACGUUGAUAGGCCGGGUGUGUAAGCGCAGCGAUGCGUUGAGCUAACCGGUACUAAUGAACCGUGAGGCUUAACCUU
rnacentral:rRNA from 1 species